UACGUAGGGGGCAAGCGUUGUCCGGAUUUGUUGGGCGUAAAGAGCGUGUAGGCGGCCAGGUAGGUCUGCUGUGAAAACUCGAGGCUCAACCUCGAGACGCCGAUGGAAACCAUUUGGCUAGAGUCCGGAAGAGGAGAGUGGAAUUCCUGGUGUAGCGGUGAAAUGCGCAGAUAUCAGGAAGAACACCCGUGGCUAAGGCGGCUCUCUAGUACGGUACUGACGCUGAGACGCGAAAGCGUGGGGAGCGAACAGG
rnacentral:rRNA from 1 species